rnacentral:rRNA from 1 species
UGCCAGACUCCUACGGGAGGCAGCAGUGGGGAAUAUUGCACAAUGGGGGAAACCCUGAUGCAGCAACGCCGCGUGAGUGAAGAAGUAUUUCGGUAUGUAAAGCUCUAUCAGCAGGGAAGAAAAUGACGGUACCUGAGUAAGAAGCCCCGGCUAACUACGUGCCAGCAGCCGCGGUAAUACGUAGGGGGCAAGCGUUAUCCGGAUUUACUGGGUGUAAAGGGAGCGUAGACGGCGAUACAAGUCUGAAGUGAAAGCCCGGGGCUCAACCCCGGGACUGCUUUGGAAACUGUGUUGCUGGAGUGCUGGAGAGGCAAGCGGAAUUCCUAGUGUAGCGGUGAAAUGCGUAGAUAUUAGGAAGAACACCAGUGGCGAAGGCGGCUUGCUGGACAGUAACUGACGUUGAGGCUCGAAAGCGUGGGGAGCAAACAGGAUUAGAUACCCUUGUAUAC